CAACCCUCAAGUGCUUUAGUGCUUGGUGUUGGGGCUUCUACUGCUUGCAGCAGGCCCUGAAAGAUAGUGGCGAGCUCGCCGUGACCCUGAGCGUAGUAGUUUUACACCUCGCUUCUGUGGCUCGCGGCGGGUUCUCAGCCGUGAAACCCCCAAUUUUCACAA
rnacentral:misc_RNA from 1 species